ensembl:lncRNA
CCACACAGAGAAGUGAUUGACUGUCUCUCUAUAGAAAUGUCAUGACUUUCACUUUCGGUUGCCGGAGCUACGUGGCCCUAGCCUGGUAUGAGCAGACCCAAAUUCACUCCACUGGGGAUUGUUUAUAUCCGCUGCAUCCUAAUAGGUGUUAACUUCGGGUUAAUUGUGAAACCAUUGGAUAGGCCGUUACCAUUCGGCAUCGACCGCUGUGUGAUUGCUAACGGUGCACUAACGGUGCAAACUUAUAUAUGAGCCUUUUCCCAAACCCUAUUGGCAGUAAGGAAACUUGUCGUCGCCCAUGAUGAAUACAUUUACUCCUGCUUCAAUUCUUCAGUGUUAGCUAGUGUUGCUACUACUGUUUUAAUCGCUUCGUCUGACACUGCCACCAUUGGUGUUACUACAUGUUGAGACAAAUGCUUCACUUCAAUGGCACUUAGCCCCACCUACUCGUCGCUGAUUGGUCCACCCUUCAGAGUGGCUGAGCGAAUCAUCUUGUAAAUAGGGUUUCCAGACUGUAAUAUCAGCGAAAACUGAUCAGCGAGCAGUAGGCGGUCAGAGCCAGGGUAAUGUUCCCUGGGGGCGAGAUAGUGGUAGACCCCUACCCACACACACACACACAAACCCCUACCCAUACACACACACAAACAGUGCAAGAGUGCUUCUGCUGUCAUCUCUUUCUCACAUAUGUCUAUCUCUCUCUGUCUGUCACACACACACACACACACACACACACACACACACACACACACACACACACACACACACACACACACUGUCUCUCUCUCUCUCUCUCUCUUUCAAACACACACAGACACUCUCUCUCUCUGUCUGUCUUAUCAACACACACACACACACUAUAUAUACCCCCACUCACACACAUGUCUUUGUCUGGGUUUCAACCCCUGCCCUCUCCAUCUUUCUCUCUCUCACUCUAACUCAAACAAUCAUUAUUUCCUCACCUCCUCAUGUCUCCAUCUUCUCUUCUAUGCUCACUCACUCUCUCCUUCUGUCUCUCUCUCUUUCCAUUCUCUGAUUAGCUGCCCUGCUCUUUUGGCAUCCAGUGUGUGUGUGUGUGUGUGUGUGUGUGUGUGUGUGUGUGUGUGUGUGUGUGUGUGUGUGUGUGUGUGUGUGUGUGUGUGUGUGUGUCUGUCUGUCUGUCUGUCUGUCUGUCUGUCUGUCUGUGUCUGUCUGUGUGUGUCUGUGUGUGUGUGUGUGUGUGUGUGUGUGUGUGUGUGUGUGUCUGUGUGUGUGUGUGUGUGUGUGUGUGUGUGUGUGUGUGUGUGUGUGUGUGUGCCCUCCCUUCUACGGCAUGUCAUAAUGCUGUGAUUUCCAUAUCCAUCUCCGUGCCCUGGAGGGCUGUAGCAUGGAGAAUAUCUUGGUAGCAGAUCCUCCCCAUCACCCACAGAUUAUGUCCAUGAGGACCGCAAGAAAUGUAAAAGCUUGAAAAUGACCAAAGGGUCAGGCACAAAUUAUUAAUUUCGAUCAGAACGGAUUUAUAGUAUAAAAUAAACUAUAUGUUAUCUCAUUGAUAUCGUUUGUAUUGAGCUAAAUUGCAAAAACAACAAUAAAAUAGUUAAUUUGGAAUAUUUUCAAAGAAUUUGGGCAACUCUGUAGCUCAUGUCACUACUAAGCUAUUAAGCCGUCAUAGCAUCACACUGUUAUGCUCUAUUAUUCAAUACAAGGGGCUUAUCUGAAGACAGACAUUUCUUCAUCUUUCUGAUGUUUAUCUUCAUGCUCCUUCCAUCUUCAUGGUCUUUUCUUCUUUCCCAAAGAUGGUGUAACACUAACUAAGCUGAACCGGGCAGAGUAAUCUCCUCUACCCAAAGGCAGCUCUCAGGUGCGUGGGUCGUGUGUUUGUUUGCUCUGCUGAUGUCUGCUGAUAUGAGACACAAAGUGACAAUCUUGACUUUGAAAUUAAUUCAAACUGAUCUGCACUUGUCAAUAGAAACUCAUAGCAUUAUGUUAUUGGCCCUGGCAAACAUACAUAGACAACCUCAAAACUGUGACUCAUACAGCAAAGUGACACUCAUUACCUUUAUUCUACCAACAUGGUGAGAAAUAAGGGGGAUGUGUUUACACCCUGGUGUCACGUCCAAGACAUCCCCAAAAAUAUUUUCUUCCAUCAUCAUUCAAGUGGCAUCAGCAUAGCACUGAAGCACAUGGAGCUAGUGAACUCCAGUAGCUAAUAACUAAUGCCGUACUUGUAGAAAAUGUAUCAAGCAUAGAGGCACAGUACUCAGUCUGGGCUACUCUGCACUCAUCUGCAGUCUCUCUGUGCUGAUAGCCCACUGGUGCUUAUCGUCUAGGACAGCUCUGUGUGUGUGUGUGUGUGUGUGUGACUUUUUUCUCUGUUGUCUUGGUAUCAGACAGCUGUGAAACCCUGGGUACAUAUGGAAUCGUCAGAAACAGAGGAGUGACUCAUUCUAUGAGUCAUCCCAUAGACGAUUCUAAUUCUUCUUCUUAUUGUCCUAUCUGUGAACCUGGAAGUGAGUGCAGCUGUUUAGGAUGAUUCAGCGAUGAGUGAAGUCAUCAGCAAUAAGCAGAUAGAGCACACUGCAC